rnacentral:rRNA from 1 species
GAUGAACGCUGGCGGCGUGCCUAAUACAUGCAAGUCGAGCGAACGGACGAGAAGCUUGCUUCUCUGAUGUUAGCGGCGGACGGGUGAGUAACACGUGGAUAACCUACCUAUAAGACUGGGAUAACUUCGCGAAACCGGAUCUAAUACCGGAUGAUAUUUUGAACCGCAUGGUUCAAAAGUGAAAGACGGUCUUGCUGUCACUUAUAGAUGGAUCCGCGCUGCAUUAGCUAGUUGGUAAGGUAACGGCUUACCAAGGCAACGAUGCAUAGCCGACCUGAGAGGGUGAUCGGCCACACUGGAACUGAGACACGGUCCAGACUCCUACGGGAGGCAGCAGUAGGGAAUCUUCCGCAAUGGGCGAAAGCCUGACGGAGCAACGCCGCGUGAGUGAUGAAGGUCUUCGGAUCGUAAAACUCUGUUAUUAGGGAAGAACAUAUGUGUAAGUAACUGUGCACAUCUUGACGGUACCUAAUCAGAAAGCCACGGCUAACUACGUG